UACGAAGGGUGCAAACGUUGCUCGGAAUCAUUGGGCGUAAAGCGCACGUAGGCGGCUUCGCAAGUCGGAUGUGAAAUCCCGUGGCUCAACCAUGGACGUGCAUCCGAAACUGCGAGGCUUGAGUAUGGAAGAGGGUCGCGGAAUUCCCGGUGUAGAGGUGAAAUGCGUAGAUAUUGGGAGGAACACCGGUGGCGAAGGCGGCCCCCUGGACCGGUACUGACGCUGAGACGCGAAAGCGUGGGGAGCGAACAGG
rnacentral:rRNA from 1 species